rnacentral:rRNA from 1 species
ACUCACGGCCAUACCACGCCUGUUCUCAUCUGAUCUCUGAAGCUAAGCAGGGGCGGUCCUGCAUAGUAGCGUCACCUUCACCUUGCUCCAUGUUAGAAACUCCAUGAUAUCGUGUUCC